rnacentral:lncRNA from 1 species
CUGAGACGUUCCGAAAGCCUGACCCCUUCGCCGGCGACAGAGACGCAAACUUCUACGAAAUCCAGCUAAUAUGACAAGGAAACAUUGAACACAAAGUCAAACAUGCAAACAGGCUGAUAAAUCAGGAAGAGAUACAGCAUCCAAACACAGGUUGACCGUUCACCUCCACCAGCCUGUCUCCAGCAUGCAAGAGACCUUCAACAAGAAGCACAAGGACAACAAACAGGACUCUGAGAGAUAAUGUUGACUUAGAGACUAUGAUGUGCCAGCAUGUGUAUAAGAAAAAACGGAGAGUAAAACCAGUAAAGCCUCACCACUGCGGUCCGCCAGUCCUCCAUGUAUAACUCGAGCAAUAUAGAUUUCCCCUGUAACAUCAUCUCUCCUGAUUGUCGCUCCCUGUAUUUAAAAAAACAAGAUAUCAGUCAAAAUAAAUACCUUAUUCGUUAUGUAUCAAGUACAAAACUGGAGUUUAUCUGAUGGAAGUGGCAUGCACGUGACCCGAACACAAAAUGAACAACUUUCUUAUAUGAAGAGAAGGAAUUCAAAUAAAGAAUGAAAUAAUCAAGAAGAGAAAUGAUAUGAGAAGGGACGGAGUCAUGGAGAAAACAAAGAUAUGAAAACCAAUGAGAAUGACCCAUGAAAAAGAAAAACACAUGACUUCCAAAAAGGUUGGAUGAGCACUGAUGUGCAAAUGGUGACAGU